UUUUCUUACAUCUCGUCCUCCCGGCUCAGUUAUCAUAUACGUCUUCAAAUUAUAGUGCCUUCACACUGGAAGGAAAGCCCCUCUACCUAACAAGAUUAAGUGAUAAGCCAAAAAUGUUUGAUUUCUAAAACAAACUUUCGUUAAGUGACUCCA
rnacentral:antisense_RNA from 1 species